rnacentral:rRNA from 1 species
GAUGAACGCUGGCGGCGUGCCUAAUACAUGCAAGUCGAGCGAACAGAUAAGGAGCUUGCUCCUUUGACGUUAGCGGCGGACGGGUGAGUAACACGUGGGUAACCUACCUAUAAGACUGGAAUAACUCCGGGAAACCGGGGCUAAUGCCGGAUAAUAUUUAGAACCGCAUGGUUCUAAAGUGAAAGAUGGUUUUGCUAUCACUUAUAGAUGGACCCGCGCCGUAUUAGCUAGUUGGUGGGGUAAUGGCUUACCAAGGCAACGAUACGUAGCCGACCUGAGAGGGUGAUCGGCCACACUGGAACUGAGACACGGUCCAGACUCCUACGGGAGGCAGCAGUAGGGAAUCUUCCGCAAUGGGCGAAAGCCUGACGGAGCAACGCCGCGUGAGUGAUGAAGGUCUUCGGAUCGUAAAACUCUGUUAUUAGGGAAGAACAAAUGUGUAAGUAACUGUGCACGUCUUGACGGUACCUAAUCAGAAAGCCACGGCUAACUACGUGCCAGCAGCCGC